UUUUAGUUGAAACCAAAUAAGAGGUAUACCACUGUUAAUGGUAAAAUUGAAAACUUUCCAGCUAAA
rnacentral:tRNA from 1 species